rnacentral:rRNA from 1 species
UACGUAGGGCGCAAGCGUUGUCCGGAAUUAUUGGGCGUAAAGAGCUCGUAGGCGGCUUGUCACGUCGGGUGUGAAAGCCCGGGGCUUAACCCCGGGUCUGCAUUCGAUACGGGCUAGCUAGAGUGUGGUAGGGGAGAUCGAAUUCCUGGUGUAGCGGUGAAAUGCGCAGAUAUCAGGAGGAACACCGGUGGCGAAGGCGGAUCUCUGGGCCAUUACUGACGUGAGGAGCGAAAGCGUGGGGAGCGAACAGG